rnacentral:lncRNA from 1 species
GGGGCGGGGCGCGGCGGCCCGGCCUGCGGGCCGCGGGCGGGCUAAUCCACAGCCCUUGGGUGGCGGUGUCGGCAGCGCCUGGGGCUUUCGGGUAGCUGGGAUGGGGGCUGCGACCUUGUUGUGGUUUUGGUGACCGCUCUUGUCCCCACUCCCCCAGGUUGGGCAGCCCCCUUCCCGAAGCUUCUGGACGGAAGGCCCCAGGUGUUCCCCGAGAUGCCCCAACCCGUGGCGGGGUGCACGGCCACCGGCCCUCGGGAGAAGUUGGGCGGCCCCGGGCGACCCCGGGGACGAGUGGCCGCGUCGGUGCAGCGGUUGUGAGCAAGAUGUGGUAGCACGUGACCCUGGAACGCAAACCCUGAUGCCUGUUCCCCACCACCCGAGCGCUCCUUUCUCUGAUAUUUGGCCCCAAGCCGAUGCAUCACAGGAUGAAUGAAAUGAACCUGAGUCCAGUGGGGAUGGAGCAGCUGACUUCAUCCUCUGUGAGCAAUGCCUUGCCAGUCUCAGGAAGUCACCUGGGAUUGGCUGCCUCACCCACUCACAGUGCCAUCCCUGCCCCAGGCCUCCCAGUGGCAAUUCCAAACCUGGGUCCCUCCCUGAGCUCUCUGCCUUCUGCUCUGUCUUUAAUGCUACCAAUGGGUAU